rnacentral:rRNA from 1 species
UGAGUAACACGUAGGUAAUCUACCUUGAAGUCGGGGAUAGCUCACUGAAAAGUGGGGUAAUAUCUGAUGGUCCUAUUUCACUUCGGUGUUUAUAGGUAAAGUUCCGGCGCUUCAAGAGGAGCCUGCGUCCUAUCAGCUAGUUGGUAAGGUAAAAGCUUACCAAGGCUAAGACGGGUAGCUGGUGUGAGAGCAUGACCAGCCACAAUGGGACUGAGAACGGCCCAUACUCC